UAAUAACAGGUGUAAGAGUUUUAAGGGCCUUACCUGGACUGACAGAGGUUGCGAUUUGCACUGAAGAAUCUUUUCUAAGAUCUGUAGUGGAUGUGGAUUCAGCUACUGCAGUUUUUGAUCCCUGCUUGGUGUUCUUCUUUCGAGUAUCCCACCAGUCAGGAUAUCCAAUGAUUUCAAAACAUUGUUCUUUUGUAUGACCAUUCUUCCUACAAUGAGUGCAAUGGAGUGAUGACUUGUCAACAAGCUUCCUUUGAGGCUGUUGUCGUGCUAUCAUAGCAGACGUUUAUGAGUCGACCUUCUUGUUUAGUUUGUUUUGCCAUACAUCUUAUCUCCGGAUAAGAGAAUAACAUUCUUCUAAGUCUGGGAUAAUAUCUUUUCAUAGAAUUUCUCUACGAACUUGGUCAAAUUCUUCAUCUAGCCCAGCAAGAAAAAUGUGCACUCUCAAUCUUUCAACAGACCUUCUGUAUAUUACAACAUCUUCUGGAUCUUUCAUGACCACUUUAUCUCGAUGAUCAAGUUCUCGAAAUAUUUCGAUCAAUUCUCCGUAGAAUUUAGAGAGUGGUUGUCCAUUUUGCUUGGUAGAGAACGCCUUCUGGUUUAGAGUGAAAACUUGUAAUUCAUCGCUUCCAUCAUAGAAGGCUUUUGAUAAUGCAUCCCAAAUUUCGUAGGCUGUAGGAAUUCGUAAAUAUCACUUCAUGAUCUCCGGAGACAUGAGUAACCAUCGUUUUACUUUUUGGUUCUCACUAUACCAUUUCUCAUAUUCUUUUGAAGAUUCCUCAUAUAGCUUUGUGUUGCUACGAAUACAUGAGAGUUUUUCUCUUUCUGCGAGAUGCAUCUCCAUUAUUUGAGACCAAACAUCGUAGUUUGUCUCAGUGAGGAUAAUUCCAGCAUUAAAUAUUCCAUCAGAUUGAACAGAUUGAAUGACUAUUGUGCAAAUUUAUUGAACUCGCAAGUGCACGAAUUUAUUGUAGUAUAGAUCAAUGGUGAUGAGUGUCGAUCCCACGAGGAGGUGGAUUUUAAUUAUAUGUAGAAUUAAUUUUGUAUGAGGGUGGUUGGAUUUGUGGUGAAAAUGAUUUGGAUUAUCCUAAAAUUCGAAUUAAAAUGGCAAGAAUAAAUUGAAGUGAAAAUCUAUUAAAUUGACGUACUUGGGUAUCUGGAUCCGUAUCAACAUGCACCAUGGGCUAAAUAUUCCUUAUUAAUGCCAAUUGAAUCAUGAGGGUGGAAUCCACACCUCAUGAACCACACUCUAAUCAAUAUGGUGCUAAGGGCUUAUCAUGCCAAAUAAUAAUAACCUUGUACUAAGGAGCCGGUGUAACCAAUGCGGUAUCUAGACAAGAUUAUUAUUAUUUGUCGACGAAAAGUCAAAUCAUCCACAAAAAUUAGAGGGGAAAAGAAAAUAAAUUUACCAAAUAAAGCCCAUGACACAUGUUGAGACUUCACCUUCAACCCAAGCUUGAAAGAAAAUUAGCUACUUAUAAUUGAACUAGGGGCAAAAUGAAAAUUUAUUAAAAUACGUAGAAAAUACAAGAUGGAGAAGAAAUUACAGAAAAUGGAUCCCAAAAAUGGAUUCAGAGAUAUCAAAUUAGGGGGGGGGGGGAGGCCCCUUUUUUAUAGAUACAUUGAGUAAAUCGUGGCCAUCGGAUUAAAAACAGUUUGGACGCUCAGGAUUUUGCCACGUCAUCAGUCAACAGUACGCGGUUUGACCACGUGGGUGAACAGUAACACGGUUUGACCCGGGUUGAACAAUGAUGCGGUUUGGUUGAAAAUAAUCCUGUGUAAUGCAUGUACCGUACGCGACAUUUUUGGUCCACUGAUAUGCUGCCACGUCAUCGAUCAACAGUGCAUAAGAAUUUUAGUCCAACAGGAUUGUGACACCUCAUCAGUCAAUGCCACAUCAUCGGUCAAUGCAACGUCAUCAAUCCGUCUAUGUGAACAGUGUCGUGAACAGUAACGUAGACAGUAUCAUAUAAGUGAAUAGUACCAUACAUGUGAACAGUGCCAUUUUUCCUUUUAUGCUCCUCCUAAGGUUUUCGACCGUCCUGAGUUCAAAAGUGAUGUCCGUUUUGCCAUCUGAUCUCUCGUUCAUUGUGAAAUGACUAUAAUGCCCCUAAAAUACAUAAAAUACUUAAUUAAAAUAAAACACACAUAAUUAAAUGACAAGAAGUUUAAAUACAUAAAAGUAAGGGUGUUAGUAAAACUUAAAGUGUAAAAUGACGAUUUUCUCCUUUAUAACUAUACAUUUUCUAACACUCAACAAUGACAACAGGAGCAGAUUCAGUUGGAGUUUUCUCCAUUUUUUGUUGUUUUUUUUUUCUCUUUUUCCUUUUUUUUCUCUUUUUUUUUCCUUUUUUUUUUGGCGCCUAGAUUGAAAUAAGGGAAAAUAACCUUUUUAGAUCAAAGAACGACAAGUCAUUUGGCCUCUGCUUGACGAAACGACAUGUCGGUUCUGAUGGAAUAUAAACGACAUGUCGUUUGACGACUGCUGCACUUCUGGAGAUUGAACGUGACGUCGUUUUAUCUCUAAUUUACAACCGACAUGUCUGUUGUAAUGUAAUAAAAAAUGACACGUCAUUGUAUUACCAGCUGCACUCUUGAGAUAAAAAUAAAAUGUCGGUUGAUGUCUUCUUCAACCUCUCGAGCGCGUGAAUAUGACAGAGGCGCAUGGUUGACUGGCCGUGGCUUCCGGUGGCACGUGGGAGCGCGUGGAAAUGUGUUUAAAUGCCAAAGUUUUACAGUUUUCUUACUGGAAACUGAGAAAUAUGAUGGUAUUCUUGGUUUUUUAGGAACACACUCUUGGAAAAUUAAUGGGAUUGCUGAUAAAUUUGUAAACUCAAGUUUUUUACGUAUGGGUGGCUUGUUUCUUGAUCGGCAUGGAUUUCGGUAAUGGUAGGAAUGGGUUUAAGGAAGAAAAUGGUGGGAAAAAAAUGGUUGUGGGAGGAAUUUGGUUUCCUCUGUUUUUAUUACGAACAGAGCUGCGAAACUUGAAGAAACUUGAAGAAACUUGAGCGUAUUCAUGGCUCUGAUACCAUGAAGAAACAUGUUUUUAUUUCUUGAAAUAAAACAUUAUACACUGAGAGUUAUUUAUAGAUGCAGAUGCUACAUUUUUUCAAAGAUUACAUAUGUGAAUAUGGAAGGAAAUGUGUCAAUCCGUUCGGCGUGGAUCGUGUCUUUGACAAAUGCAGAUUAUCCCUUUGACAAGUGCGGAUUAUGUCUUUGAAAACUUUCUCCAAUGCCAUUUUAUUCAACAAAUACGAUCUCAUCAGCUAUUAUAUUAAUUUCUAUUUUGCCAUUGCAUGAAAUUAUGAAAAAAGGAUAUUGAAGAGUUUCUUGCCACAAAUUGAACCUGCAUCUCUGUAAGCAUUACUCUUGCAUUUUCGCGGAAAAGGGAGUAAGUGAAUGGCCUAAAUUCAUGGUUCAUUUCAUAUUAUGGAGUUUCUUUCUUCAGGAUGAUUUCGGCUGGAAUUCUCAUAAUUUGCGUCCAAAAAUCCACUAUUGAUAGGCUUAGUGCUUGCCAUUUUGCCUUUACAGCUGGUAGUGGUUGUAUGCUUGUUGGAUUAGUCAAAAAAAUCAAUUGGCAUUGGUCACAAAUUUUUUAUUCAAUUUUUUAUUCGAGCUGAGGGAUACAUACAGUAGUAGACGUCGUGUUCUAUGUUCUCUUUCCCAUAUAUAUAACUAUAGUAAGAGAUAUAUAUGGCUUUUAUAUAAUUCUCAAUAUCAUAGGCGGUAAACAUGGACUCUUGGCUAAAAGACAAUAUGAACAUGAAACCAUUUCACGUGGGUGAUCAAUUAAUAACUUUCAUUUUUUUUACUUCUUAUAGAAGUCAGAAGAGAGUGUACCUGCGACCAGUGGCGGUGCCAAAAAUUAUUUUUAGCGCGGGCUACGUUCACAUAAUAGUUUAAUUCAAGAAAGUAAUCAAUAAAUAACAUAUAUCAAAAUAAAAUUUCAUUAAAAUAUUUAAUUCAACACACUUAUAAUUGUCUUCGACGAGGUUUCAUAUGUUGAAAACGUUGAAGAAUAACUUCAUUGUCAAGACUACAAAAUAUAUCAUUUUUUAUGAAUACAACAAGGUUAUCAUUCAACCAUUGAUCUCUCAUCCGAUUUCGCAGACGGUUUUUCACAAAAUUCAUAGCCGAAAAUGCCCUUUCUAUUGUAACUACGGCAACUGGUAAAAUCAAUGCUAAUGUCACCAAUAAAUAAACUAAUGAAUAUAAUUGAUCCUUUUUAGUCUCAACCAAUUUUCUUGCUAGCUCACCAAUCCCUUUCAAUCUGAAAAUUUGUUGUUAGAACCGACAUCCAUAAUAUAAACAUCAAAUUGAGUUUCAAGUGCCACAAGAUCCAUUAGAGAAAAAUCAUUUGGAUAAAACUCAGCAAGGUGAAGUAGUUUCUAUUUAUCAAAAGCUGCAAAUGAGUCAUUGGGGCAUAGACAUGCCACACAAAGAAGUAGGGGUGGGCAUCGGAUCGGAUUCGGAUUUGAAGGCAAAUCCGAUUGGAUGAAGUCUGUGCGAUCUGAUCGGAUUUGGUUCGGAUCGGAUCGAAUUCGGAUCAAUCCGAAUCAUCCGAUCGGAUCUGCACUAUAAACUAAAAAAAAGAAAAUUAAAUAAAUAAGCGAAAGUACUAAAAAAAUAAGUUUAACUCAUGUUCGGAUUCGGACUUCGGACUUCGGAUCACUAGUGCAGUCAGUCAGUCACCACUCACCAGUUCACACUUCACAUUGUUCAUCUCACUCUUAGAUCUUACGUCUCAGUCACAGACUCACAGUACCAACUCAAACUGACAUUAACAAAAGACACAGGACUCAGCGAGCACGAGCAGCAGAGCAAAAGCAAAAUGCCAAAUCCAGCUUCAUCUCGUCAUCCGUCUUGAACCCAUUAACGAGUAACGACCACGCCAAAACUCAGCUGCCGCCGGCCCGCUGACACCAAUCGACUGGAAGCUAGCCGAUUUCAACUGAAACCCAGGCGAACGAAACCAAAUUAAUCGACCUAAACCCAGCUGAAACCCAGCUGACAGCUGCCUCUUCAACCACCGAACUGAUCACGUCCAGCGCCGGCCAGUUGCCACGCCAAACGCCGAUAAUCCACUUCCACUAUUCCCAAGCACCUAGCAACUUUAUUCAUGGUAAGCAAUUAAACCAGACCCAUGACAAUUGAAAGUUAACACAACUCAGAAUUUCAUGCUUCUUUUCGACUUUUAGGGUUUUUUUAGUUGUAUUACUGCUUGGAAAAUGAAAAACCGAAAAUGCCACCAAAUGGUUUGGGCCAAACCCGAGAGCAAGCGGCUAGCUCCCAAACCCGAGAGCAAGACAUGAAUUGUUCUGUUUUUUCCUUUUAUUUUUUCUAAUGUAUGAUUAUUCAUUUGUAAUAUUAGUUGAGAAAGACAUGAAUAUGUAUUGAUGUAAAAUUCAAAUUUAUUAAUUAUUAAAUAAUCAUCAUUAUUUAAUGCAUGAUUAUUCAUUUAUAACAUUAGUUUAUUAAUUAUUAAUAAACUAAGGAACAAUAUCAAUUCUUUAAAAUUAAAAAUUCAACUUCAUACCGUACAUUGUGGUAGUAGAAUUAUUUUAUGAUAAGUUAAUGUCAUUAAUUGCUUUAUUUCCAAAUAAUAAUUUGAUGAAUGAAUUUGUAUAGCUAGUAAGCUAGGCUGAAGAGAUUAUAUAUAGUCAAAAGUUAUAUUUAUUUUUUAGUUGAAAAUUCAUAAACGAAAGUUACAGAACAAUGAUGAUUGAUAUGAUUUUUUUAUUUUCAGAUGACUGGACAUUCAAAAUCAAAUUCCAAUGAUGAAGAUGAAGUUGAAAGUGUACAAGUACCCACAGAAAAGACAAAUACAAAGCGGAAGAAUCCAACUCAGAGACGACCAAUAAAGAAAAGAUCUGAGACAUGGAAUCAUUACACUGUACUUGAGGACAAUCAAUAUAAAGCAAAGUGCAACUAUUGUGGCAAGAUAUAUCAGUGCCAUCCUAGGUUUGAUGGGAUUAGCAAUAUGGGAACUCAUUUAAAAGUAUGUGAAGCAUACUUGAACGUGAAGCGAGAGCAAGAUGAAAGACUACAAAAAUUGGCAGCCGAGAGUGGUGAAGGAAAUGCAAGUAAUAUGGUUUUGGCUAAAGGAUGGAGUCAAGAAGCUUGUAGAAGGACAGUUAGUAAAAUGAUUAUCUUGGGCAAGUUGCCGCUUAAUUUUGUUGACAACAAAGGGUUUAUGCAUUUUUGCAAUGUAGUUGUUCCUCAGUUUAUUAUGCCAUCUUGGAGAACUAUUAGUAGAGAUGUUAUGGAUAUGUUCUUGGAAGAAAAGGGAAUUUUGAAGAGUUUGAUAUGCAAGAAUAAGCAUAGAGUGUCUCUUACAACUGACAUAUGGACUUCAGUUCAGAACAUGAGUUAUAUGGUAAUCACAGCUCACUUUAUUGAUAGUGAUUGGUGUUUACAUAGGAAGAUUAUUAGUUUUAGCGUGAUUGAAGACCAUAAAGGGAAGUCCAUUGGCAAAAAGAUUUAGUCUUGUUUGCUUGAAUGGGGAAUAGAGAGGGUGUGUGCAAUAACUGUUGAUAAUGCGUCGGGCAAUGAUGUUGUUAUUGAUUAUGUGAAGAACCAAAUGCUUAUGUGGAAGAAUGUUGAUGCACUUGUGUUGCGGGGUGAUUACAUGCAUGUGCGUUGUUGUGCACAUAUCUUAAAUUUGAUUGUCACUAGGGGGUUAAAAGAGUUGCAUGCCUCAGUUGCCGGUAUUCGGAAUGCUGUGAAGUAUGUUAGAUCAUCCACUUCGAGAUUAAAAGCAUUUAAACAGUGUGUAGAUCAUGUGAAAGGCCCUAAUGGAACUGUGGUUUUGGAUUGUAUCACUAGGUGGAAUUCCACCUAUUUGAUGUUGAUGACUGCUUUGAAAUUUGGGGAGGCAUUUGAGAGGAUGGCAGAAGUGGAUAAACCGUAUGAAGCAUACUUUAGAGAGGAAGAAAACGAGAAAAAAAAGGGUAGGGCCACCUGAGCUUGAAGAUUGGGAACAUGCCGAAAGAAUUGUGAGGUUUUUAAAGAUCUUUAUGAUGCUACAUUGACUUUUUCAGCCUCUUUGAGUGUCACUUCUAAUCUUUGUUGCGAUACAAUUGGCUUAAUCGAGAAUCCAUUGAGUGCAUUAGAAAAAAGCAAAGAUGUUUAUGUGCAUUUGAUGGCUUCUAGUAUGAGGGAAAAAUAUGACAAAUAUUAGGAGUGCACAGAGAAAAUCAACAAAAUCAACAAAAUCUUGAUUAUUGCCUCAAUACUUUAUCCGCAUUGCAAAAUGGAUUUUACUAAACAUAUUUUUAGUAUGAUAUUUUCCGAUGAUAGUGCAAAGAUUGAAGAAAUGGUCGCGGUGAUGAAAGGCUUGUUAAAUUCACUUUUUGAUGCAUAUAGUGGAUGGAACUCCUCACCACCAUUGUCUAGUGAGAGUUUUCGUAGUGGCAGUGCCAGUGGUGGCGGUGGCGGUUCUAGUUCUUCUCCGCACCUUAUAGAUGACACGGAUCGGCAACAAGGGUACAUAAUGGAACAUGGUGAUGAUACUUUACGAGUUGCUCGCCCUUUUCUUGGAUAUGCUAAGAAAGUUUUAAUUCAAAACGAGGGCAAGCUUAUGACGACCGAGGUGGAAAGAUACUUACUUAACCCGAUUGAAGAUCCUAGUAAUGAUAAACUAAAUUUUUUAUUAUGGUGGAAGGUGAACAGGUCGAAGUAUCCGAUAUUGCAGAAAAUAGCAAGGGAUAUCCUUGCAAUUUCGGUAUCCACUGUGGCUUCGGAGUCCGCCUUCAGCACUGGGGGUCGUAUCAUGACGAAUAUAGGAGUUCUUUAACUCCCACUAUGAUUGAAGCAUUGAUUUGCACUGAAAAUUUGUUGCAGUCUAAACUUUUUUGCCACUCCUAUCUACGACCUUAAUCAAGAGUUGAAAGAUCAUAUAUAUCAAAUGGAGUUACAAGAGGGUAACUUUUUUAUAUUACAUUUUAUAUAGAAUACCUUUUAAAUUUAUUAUAACACAUUUUUUAUAUUACUCGUGCACUAAUUAUAAGUUAUUAUGUUUUUUUUUUCAUUUUAAAGAGUAUGUACAAUCACAAGCUUCAACAAUUACAAGUUACAACGAUGGGUGCUAGUAUUCGUCAUGAUAUUUGAAUAGGUAAGGUAACUCUUAAAUUUAAUAAAUCUUUUGGUUUCAAGGUAUUAUAUUUAUAAUUGUUUUACUUUUGGUUUUAAGUCAAUUGUAACAUGAUAAUUGUUUGUGAUCUUAUGUUAGGAAAAUUGAAGUUGGUAGUUGGAAAGCAAAAGUUAAGGAUUCAUCAAAGUGUGUUGUGAGUUUAAUUUGAUAUUAUUGUACUUUUGGUUUGAGGAACUUGUAGUCUAUCUAAAUGUUUUGGGAUGAUAAUUUUUAUUUUGGUUUAUUUUAUUGUUGGAUGAUAUAAUGAUAAUAUUUAUUUUGUGAUUUUGUGUUGUUUAUUUAUUUGGAGACUUGGAGUAAUGUUUAAUUGUUUAUUUUGUGUUGUUUGUUGGGAGACUUGGAGUAAUGUUUAUUUUGUGUUGUUUACUUGGAGACUUAGAGUUGGAGCAAAGUUUAUUUUGUGUUGUUUAUUUAGAGGCUUGGAGCAAUGUUUAUUUUAUGUUGCUUAUUUGGAGGCUUGGACUUGGAGUAAUGUUUAUGCACCUAACUUGUAAGAGCAUUAGUGCAUUACUAAUUAAAUGAAAUGGGAGUGCUUGUUUUCUUGGUAUAUGUCAAUGCCAUAUUGUCAAGGAGACAAUACAAUAUAGAUUGUCAUUUGUUAGCUUGUUUUCAUUUUCUUUUUUUUUUUAAUGGUUAGUAAGUUUUCAUUACUUAUAGAUUUCAUAAUUUUUUUGUGAGAAUUGUGAAAAAGGUCCAAAUCCGAUUUCAAUCCGAAUUAAUCCGAAUCCAAAAUAUAAUCCGAAUCCGAAAAUUAAUCCAAAAUCCAAACUCAUCCGAUCCAAUCCGAAUCCGAAUUCAAUCCAAAUUUUCAUCCGAUCUAAAUCCGAUCCGAAUAAUUCGGAUCGGAUGAAAAUUCGGAUUGAAUUCGGAUGAAUUUUUUUUCAAUCCGAAUUAUCCGAAAUCCGAUCGAAUUCAUCCGAAUCCGAAAUUGCCCACCCCUACAAAGAAGCAACUCAGUAUUCGUCUUAUUGAAACGAUUGCUUAAUUCUUUAAGUUGCAUGUCCAAAAUUGCAUAAAAUAAUUCAACACGAAAACAAUGCAAAUUUGUGAUCUUUUGAGCCUUGCGUUGUGAUCUUUCUUGAGUUCGAAACAAAUCAUCCAUAUUCGGAACAUCAAUAUCAUGCUUUACACAAUAAGAAAAAGUUUCACCAAAUAAAGAGUCUCAUCCAUUUUCUCCAGUCUUUUGCAAGUUUCUCUUAUACACUUCAAUUAAUUUCAUAGCAUUCACAAUGUCUUGAUCCUUUUUUUGUAAUGCUUGUGAUAACUCAUGUGCAAAUCCAAGAAUAUUUUUCAUUAACAGCAGGCUAAACACAAAAUCAAAUGAUUGCAUUGACUUCAAUAACAUUCUAGCUUGAAAUCUUUGUUCAGAAUUUCCCUCAUUUGAAAUUAUCUCAAGCAUGUCAAUAAUAGAUGGAAACAUGGUGAUUAUACUCAAUAACGUACCAUAAUGUGAGCCCCAACGUGUAUCAGCAGAUCGCUUUAAAGUAACCUCUUGAUUUAAACCUCGUCCACUUGAAAGUUCACCAUCAUCAAGUGUUUUAAUAACUGCUUGAGCAUGUUUCUCUUGAAGAAUAUCACGACGUUUUGUUGAAGCACCAACAACAUUAACUAACAUUGUAAGAGAAUUAAUUAUGAGAAUUUAAAGAGAAACUGAAAACAAUUCCCAUGUCAAAAUGUAAAAACAAAUACAAAAAUACAAAAUAUUAAUUUAAUAAACUAACUACCCGAUUAAAUCCUCAACCACUAAGUUACUAAUCCAUCAUAGCAUCACGCCAUCACCAAUGGCAUUGUUAUUCUAUUAUUUAUAAUGAGUAAAGUUAAAAGCAUUGCCACUUUAUCAAGAAGCAUCGCCACUUUAUCAAGAAACAUGCCACAAUUAUUCUAUUCAAAAAGUAUAAACAAAUUCAAGAAUUGUAAUAUUAAAUUAUAAAGUGACAAAGAUGUUUAAUUAUUAAAAUAAUUUAGCCACUCGGCCUUUGGCCGAGUGGUCAGGGCAGCAAUUCGAACCCCCACAAAAGCAUUGUGGGGGUAUUUCCUUCCUCAAUUAAAAAUUGAGUGAAGGUAGUCUUCUUUUUUACCCAUGAGUGAGGAGUGGACAUCCCUCGAAUAUUUGUGAGGGUUAAAAUCUGGGCAGAGCUCCAUUAGUAUUGAUGUAAGUUGGUCCCAGUAAUAGUCUGAUUUGUAAAUAUCAGUUAUACUCUCAUGUAAUAUGAGUUGUAAUAUGAGCAAUAGUCUCAUGUAAUCAAAAAAAAAAUUAUCAAAAUAAUUUAAUCAAUUCUUAAUAAUUAAUCUAAAAGCUGCAAAGGUAUGACAGUAGUACCUGAAAAAAUGCAAAGAUGCAGACCAUGCGGUGGUGCAGGGCUCCGAGUGCCAACUGCAAGUUGUAGCAUAUAUGGCAUGAAAGCAAAGAGGUGUGAUGGCAUGAGAGUUUGACAGAGAUAGACGACAGGCUGAUCACUGAUGGUAGCCGAUGGAGUUUUUCUUUGGCAAAGGAUCGAUGGUGGUGGUUAGGGAUUUGAUUUUGAGUUUUUUUUUUUAAUUUCUAAUCGUUGUUUUAAAUAUUAGUCUUUUAGUUAUUUCAAAAAAAAAUUCAGGGACUUUAUUGUAAAUUCACUAAAAAAAGAUAAAUUUAAUUGUUUUUAAAAUUCUAGGGGGGCCUUCAGCCCCCAGCUCUCAAGUGGCGCCGCCUCUGCCUGCAACGUCAAUCGUAUCAAGCAAAGAUAUAGGACAUUUAAUAAUGAAAAAAUUAGGAAUUUUCAUGGACACACCAGUCGGUUCCGUAAAUAUAUAGAAUCAACUGAUUCUAGGUACCUUACAAUGUGAUUUUUUUCCCCUUGAAGAUAAGGACUAUUUUUUAGGAUACUGGCCGUUGAGGCUUUGUUUGUAUUUUUGCAAGAAAAUGGAAAAGGGUGGGCUAAAUCGCAAAAAAUAAAGCUAAUAGCUGCUAAAUUGAAUUUUUUAAGAGUGUUUUAAUGUGGAAUUUGAUUUGGGAACUUUUUUGUAGUUACAAGAAACAGCCACACCGGGUAACAAUUAGGGCAUUCUUUCAUAAAUUGGAUAUCAAUAGUAUCGAGUACGAAUGAGGAUGGUUAAAUGCCUAAUCACCCUAUUAAUCUUACAGUCGACAAAAAGCAAAAGCAAAAGCAAAAGCAAUAGCAUUACAAAUAGUAUAACUAUCAAAUUGAUUCACUAUGUCUAAACGACAAGUCAUCUAAAUAAUUUGUCAUCUAAUUACUAAAUUAUUUGACGCAACGACUGAUUUAGAAUUUUAAUUUAGAGGGGGCUUGGUACAAAUACUGUGAUUCACAGUAGCGCGUUCGAUGGUGCGAGUGAUCAACAACAACGACAGACAAGUGAGGCAAUGAUGAUGUAUAUGUUGGAAAUAUGAAUUCAUAUUGUUUUUUGAAAGUACACAAUAUGAAUAGUAGCUGUUGGUACUGUUACUUCACUAUUUACUAAUACUAUUGAUCUUACUGUUCACUCAACAACAAUCGUAAAUUUGUCAAGGUGUGUUCGAAGUGUCCUUAAGACUAAUUUUUGCUUCUCUAGAAAGAUUUUCCGAUACAAAAAAUAUAUAUAUAUAAAACGAAUUGAUCCCUAGGAUAUAAUGACAUUAUUGUGAGCUUGCACUCCAAGCACAAUAGUUUAGAAUAACAAAAGAAAAAUUAAUGAAAAAAAUAUAAGAUAGAAGAAUAGGUUACAAUGGUUGUGCCUUGAAGAUUUUGUAUUUUGAAAUACCAAUAAAACUCUAAGAAUAAGCUUAAAUAAUUUGAUCAAAAUUGCACUUUAAGAUGAAACACUAAUUAAUGGCCUUUCAAGACUUGAAUUGGGUUAAAUAGUUUAUGUACGAAAAUUGAAUUAUUGACAUCCCUAUCUCCUUUUAUAUAUUGUUGGUAAUAAAUCUAAUAACUUUAUGUGGUUGUGAUUCUUAAUGUAGUUUUUUUUAAUCGUUAGCUGUGUACGUGUCAUUAUUAGCAAUGUGUCAUUUUCAUUACUGUGUCAUUGUUGGCAGUGUGUCAUUUUCAUUACUGUGUCAUUUGUAGUAUUUAGAAUCAUUGGCCAAUAAUUUUGUAACAAGACCAACAUAUAGGGGUAAAUGACAAAUUCACGAGUGGGGGACAUACACCUGUUUAUAAUAUUGUAAAUGCAUUUUUUCAUGAGUUUACAGUGUUCAAAAGUAUUUUCUUCAUUCUAAGUGUGGACAUGCCAAUUUUGCAUAAUAGUCAUAUCCCAGAACAAAAGUCACAUUAAAAUUUUAUUCAUUUAUUCAGGUUUUUUUCCUGCAUUAACGAAUUCAUUGUGUAGGAUUUCAUUUUUAUGUAAACCAAUUCAGUUACGAGAAUCAACUACUAAUUUUUUUCCCGUUAAUUGGCUACGUUUACGUUAAUUAACUGAUAAAUAACUUUGCAUUAGCAAAGCCAAGAGAUUAAUUUAAACCCCUAAGAUUCAAAUAUUCUUUCACUAGUACUACUGGACAAAUUUGGCAAUCGAUAUUUCGGAAGACAUCAUCACACGUGUCAAACAAAAGUUAAAAAAAUAGCCAGUCCCAUUAAAAUCACCAAAUGCAAUCCAAUAACAUGCUCCAUUAUGUAUUGACUUUCAUGAGAAUUAGCAGGAAAAAAAAAAGUUCAUUUAGUUAAGCAAAUAGCAACCUUUGAUUGUUCUUUAACAUUACUAAAAAUCUAAUUCUUACUUUACUUGAUUGUAUUGUCGAAUCUUUCUGAAAAGGUAGAAGAUAAAUCCCAUUUAUUGGAAUUGUAUGUAGGACGUGUUUUGUUCAAAAUCAGUAAUUUGACAGUUAAGAAAUGAACAGAAAGUUGUUGAAGGUAGUGCAUGACGUCUCAUGCGCUUUAAAUUUCAAAAAUUUAUAUCUUUUUGACAUGGAAACUACUCAGCAAGGAAAUGGUGGCUCAACAACAUUAUAUAUAUAGAGCUCUCUAGGUGAAUUGAAGAUGAGAAUGAGGGAUUGCAUAAGCUACAAGAAUGAACGGUCAUUUGUAAAGUACAGCGAAUAGGGUCCAUUAGAUCAAAUCAAGUAGAGUAGAAGAAAAUGAAUACACUUAUGCUACAAUCAGUUUCAAUUUCUUUCAUCUGGUAACCGUCUAUAAACAAGAUACAAGCUCUAAGCCACCAAUGGGCUAUAAACAGAGCUUCAUUCAAGAGAGUUAAAGGUAUCCCAAGUUCUGAAAAUUGAGAGCAUGUACAAGUGAGCUUUUACAGAGAUUUUUCAGAGAAUGUUUUCUUAACUAUUCUAGAGGGAUUUAUAUUGGGUGUAUUUAGGUUAUCGGAUUUUGAGAAUUGUUCCCAUUCAAAGCCCAACCCCAAUUCAUGAGCCUAAAUAAUAAACCAAACAAAAGAGAAUAUUCUCUCAAUUUAUCUAGAAUUACUUUGCUAAAAAUAUCAUGAAUCAUUGGCGUUGUGGCAGUUUUAAAAUUUGGUGAUUCCUAAGAAAUUAAUGGUAAUAAGUUUAGAAUGUCGUUAUUUGUUAGGACCUGCAUUUAAAAUCUUAAAUAUUCGUAAUUAAUUAUAAAGAUCUCGGUUCACCUGCAAGCUACAACAAUUAGCUAACUGAUAUAUGGUAUUUUUUACAAAACUAUUCAAAAAGAAAGGGUAUAAUUAAUCAAACUGAUUUGGACAAUACCACACGAUUUUUUUUUUAUUGACAAACCAACAUAAACAACAUAUUAACGUAAAUAACGCAUUCACAUAUAAUUGUUUUAUUUAGUUAUUAAGAAAGACGAAGUACAUGGACGGUGGACACUAAGAAAUAUAAUCUCUUGUAUAUCAAGAGAUUUUAGAGGUUGAAAUGAACUAAACUGACCCUCACACAAUUAAUUGACAGUAAUUGACAGGUAAGAACAGUACCCAUCCUUUUAUUAACCAUAAUGGAAAAGAGUAAUACUGCGUGCGUGCGUGCGCUUAUUAACCAGUGUGGUCGGGAUUUCUUCCAUAUUGAGGGACAGCAAUAAGAUCAAGAUUGUCAACUGUCCCGUCCUUAUCAUCAGCAAUACCAUAUACAGGUACUGGAGUACCCUCCAACCAUUCAUUCUUACCUGAAAGUUUAACAUUAGAAAAUGGAUUCAUAAAUGCUUAUAUUAAUAUAUGAAUUGUAAAUGAUAUCCAUUCAGCUGAAAUUGGCUAAAAAACCUGCGCAAGGAAAAGGAGUUUCCAUAUUCUUCAAAUCAGAAAAGAUCUCCAG
rnacentral:lncRNA from 1 species